rnacentral:rRNA from 1 species
UACGAAGGGGGCUAGCGUUGCUCGGAAUCACUGGGCGUAAAGGGUGCGUAGGCGGGUCUUUAAGUGAGGGGUGAAAUCCUGGAGCUCAACUCCAGAACUGCCUUUGAUACUGAAGAUCUUGAGUUCGGGAGAGGUGAGUGGAACUGCGAGUGUAGAGGUGAAAUUCGUAGAUAUUCGCAAGAACACCAGUGGCGAAGGCGGCUCACUGGCCCGAUACUGACGCUGAGGCACGAAAGCGUGGGGAGCAAACAGG